AACGGAAACACCAUGGCCGGGCUCUGUUGCAAUCUUUCCAGAGAUGGCAACCCAAUGGUACCAUGUAGCCAACAAAUUGCAUAGCAGCUGUCAGCCAAGUAUCAAUGCACACCUGAAUCCCUGGAGUUAAGGCCAAAGUUACCCGCCUCCAAGGCUAGAAGAUCUUCAGACAGAGCUUUCUUUUGCCCUUCCUUUGUUCCUCCCUCCCUUCCCUUUGUUCCUCACUUCCUCCCUCCCUCUCGGCAUAAUUUAUCGACAUGGGCUGUCUGACAUUUCAUUGUGAUGAUCACC